AGAGUUUGAUCAUGGCUCAGAUUGAACGCUGGCGGCAGGCUUAACACAUGCAAGUCGAGCGGUAACAGAGAUAGCUUGCUAUCUGCUGACGAGCGGCGGACGGGUGAGUAAUGCUUGGGAAUAUGCCAUAUGGUGGGGGACAACAGUUGGAAACGACUGCUAAUACCGCAUAACGUCUACGGACCAAAGAGGGGGAUUCUUCGGAACCUCUUGCCAUUUGAUUAGCCCAAGUGAGAUUAGCUAGUUGGUGAGGUAAUGGCUCACCAAGGCGACGAUCUCUAGCUGGUUUGAGAGGAUGAUCAGCCACACUGGGACUGAGACACGGCCCAGACUCCUACGGGAGGCAGCAGUGGGGAAUAUUGCACAAUGGGCGAAAGCCUGAUGCAGCCAUGCCGCGUGUGUGAAGAAGGCCUUCGGGUUGUAAAGCACUUUCAGUUGUGAGGAAAGGGGUGUAGUUAAUAGCUGCAUCCUGUGACGUUAGCAACAGAAGAAGCACCGGCUAACUCCGUGCCAGCAGCCGCGGUAAUACGGAGGGUGCGAGCGUUAAUCGGAAUUACUGGGCGUAAAGCGUGCGUAGGCGGUUUGUUAAGCAAGAUGUGAAAGCCCAGGGCUCAA
rnacentral:rRNA from 1 species